UACGUAGGGUGCAAGCGUUGUCCGGAAUUAUUGGGCGUAAAGAGCUCGUAGGCGGUUUGUCGCGUCUGCUGUGAAAACGCGGGGCUCAACUCCGCGCCUGCAGUGGGUACGGGCAGACUAGAGUGAUGUAGGGGAGACUGGAAUUCCUGGUGUAGCGGUGAAAUGCGCAGAUAUCAGGAGGAACACCGGUGGCGAAGGCGGGUCUCUGGGCCGUAACUGACGCUGAGGAGCGAAAGCGUGGGGAGCGAACAGG
rnacentral:rRNA from 1 species